GCCAGAUUUUUCUGGGCUGGCGAGGCAGGCAGACAGAAAUAUCACAUGGUCAGCUGGCCAGACAUCUGCAAACCCAAAGACCAGGGUGGCCUUGGGAUUUUGUCCUCUCGGCGCAUGAACAUCGCCCUCCUCACCCGCUGGCUAUGGCGCAUUGCCAAUGGGGAGGGAGGCCUUUGGUUGACUAUCAUCCGGAACAAGUACCUGCGUGGCUAG
rnacentral:rRNA from 1 species